rnacentral:lncRNA from 1 species
CUGGGCGGCAGGUAGCCUAGCGGUUAGAGCGGUGGGCCAGUAAUGUAAAGAUCGCUGGUUAGAAUACCCAAGCCAAGAAGGUGAAAAAUCUGUCGAUAUGCCCUUGAGCAAGGCACUUAACCCUGAUUUGCUCCAGGGGUGCCGUUCUACUAUGGCUGCAUCUAUCCAGUGUAUGUGACACUAAAACAUAUUUUGUUUUGUUAUUUUUUUAGGUUUGCAUUUUCCAACGUUAGGGUACCUUAGAUUAGUGUGUGUGUAACUUCAGUUUCCCAUCCACAUGACUGGUGAAUCAGAUAAUGGGAUACAGCCCCCUCUGUUGGUGACUGUUGAUAUUACAGCACUCUACCAGUGAGAGUUUGAAACACACACACACACACCCAAGCCUUUUCUCUGAAACCAAACUGCAUCCUGACGUUUGGAAACCACUAUAAUCGACUUCCUCGUUUUCCAAGUGCCUUUGAACAAGUUGACUCGUACACAUCAGUUGAUCAGUUCAGCAAGCUAUUUAUUUCUCCUCUCCCCUGUUGAGCUCUAACCCUCCACUACCUCAUCCCUCUCUCCUCUCCUCCCUCUGUCCCUGACAGACAGCAUGCAGUAACCCCCUCUCACCUCUCCUCAGUCACAAAGGGAGGAUGCUGUGUGACCAUAGCUAGAUUGUUUAUUGAUUUUUGCAUCUGCCUCUGUGUGCCAGUGUGUAGUCAUGUCUUUCUGCGCAAGCAUGUGCCUGAGUGUUCAUAUCUGUGUGUGCAGACAAUAUACUGCAGGUCGUGUGUGUGUGUGUGACAGCAUAUGACAUCUGAGGCAUUACAGUGUAUAUAGUUCUCUCCUCUACAUAUUGACAUGUGAGCUAGUGUUGUGAAUGACCCCUCAUCCUCUCUCUCUCUCUCUGUACUCCAUCACCAUAGUUACCACUCUGGAAGAGUACUGUAUGUUACUGUUCCAUCCAUUCUGAAUGUCUUAACUGGUUGCUUGUAUUAUAAUUUACGCUUAUUAUUCUGAAUAAAGAGACAAACUGGACUUCUGCAUCUUCUGUGUAUUGUUUAGCACUAGUCUAGAGAGUAUAGAGCAAGUUUGAGUGUAGUAGAAUUAAGGAGAACAUAAUUGAGUCAUCCUCUGUAGAUCAAUGUCAAAUGUGUGCAAGCUUCAGGAUUAGACUGUAUCCAGAUGCAUGGUUCACGUUCAC